GGUAACAGGAAGCAGCUUGCUGCUUUGCUGACGAGUGGCGGACGGGUGAGUAAUGUCUGGGAAACUGCCUGAUGGAGGGGGAUAACUACUGGAAACGGUGGCUAAUACCGCAUAACGUCGCAAGACCAAAGAGGGGGACCUUCGGGCCUCUUGCCAUCAGAUGUGCCCAGAUGGGAUUAGCUUGUUGGUGAGGUAACGGCUCACCAAGGCGACGAUCCCUAGCUGGUCUGAGAGGAUGACCAGCCACACUGGAACUGAGACACGGUCCAGACUCCUACGGGAGGCAGCAGUGGGGAAUAUUGCACAAUGGGCGCAAGCCUGAUGCAGCCAUGCCGCGUGUAUGAAGAAGGCCUUCGGGUUGUAAAGUACUUUCAGCGGGGAGGAAGGUGUUGUGGUUAAUAACCGCAGCAAUUGACGUUACCCGCAGAAGAAGCACCGGCUAACUCCGUGCCAGCAGCCGCGGUAAUACGGAGGGUGCAAGCGUUAAUCGGAAUUACUGGGCGUAAAGCGCACGCAGGCGGUCUGUCAAGUCGGAUGUGAAAUCCCCGGGCUCAACCUGGGAACUGCAUUCGAAACUGGCAGGCUUGAGUCUUGUAGAGGGGGGUAGAAUUCCAGGUGUAGCGGUGAAAUGCGUAGAGAUCUGGAGGAAUACCGGUGGCGAAGGCGGCCCCCUGGACAAAGACUGACGCUCAGGUGCGAAAGCGUGGGGAGCAAACAGGAUUAGAUACCCUGGUAGUCCACGCCGUAAACGAUGUCUACUUGGAGGUUGUGCCCUUGAGGCGUGGCUUCCGGAGCUAACGCGUUAAGUAGACCGCCUGGGGAGUACGGCCGCAAGGUUAAAACUCAAAUGAAUUGACGGGGGCCCGCACAAGCGGUGGAGCAUGUGGUUUAAUUCGAUGCAACGCGAAGAACCUUACCUGGUCUUGACAUCCACAGAAGAAUCCAGAGAUGGAUUUGUGCCUUCGGGAACUGUGAGACAGGUGCUGCAUGGCUGUCGUCAGCUCGUGUUGUGAAAUGUUGGGUUAAGUCCCGCAACGAGCGCAACCCUUAUCCUUUGUUGCCAGCGGUUAGGCCGGGAACUCAAAGGAGACUGCCAGUGAUAAACUGGAGGAAGGUGGGGAUGACGUCAAGUCAUCAUGGCCCUUACGACCAGGGCUACACACGUGCUACAAUGGCGCAUACAAAGAGAAGCGACCUCGCGAGAGCAAGCGGACCUCAUAAAGUGCGUCGUAGUCCGGAUUGGAGUCUGCAACUCGACUCCAUGAAGUCGGAAUCGCUAGUAAUCGUGGAUCAGAAUGCCACGGUGAAUACGUUCCCGGGCCUUGUACACACCGCCCGUCACACCAUGGGAGUGGGUUGCAAAAGAAGUAGGUAGCUUAACCUUCGGGAGGGCGCUUACCACUUUGUGAUUCAUGACUGGGGUGAAGUCGUAACAAGGUAACCGUAGGGGAACCUGCGGUUGGAUCACCUCCUUACCUUAAAGAA
rnacentral:rRNA from 1 species